UGGGACAGCGAGAUGUAAAAAUUCAAUGGCUCAAACUUCUCAUCUGGAAUUGAGCACUACAGUCAGCUAGAGCAAUUUAUCAAAGGAGAGAUCCCUGCAACCCACCCCAGCCUCCUGGAUCCAUCUCUUCCUCUAUACAUGUUACUGCUAUGGCUUCAGCUGCAAUUAAAGCAAAUUUAAAGAAAUAUAAGCAACUAGAACAAGUUAGUCCUAGAAGGUCUUCCGGUGAGUCACGCUGUGAGCAGGAAAUCUGGCAUUGAGGCGUAAUUAACUUUCGGGUUGCCCCCAGUUUCUAUGGAGAUGAGUCUAGCCCCUCAGGGGAGCAGUGAUGGAUGUGUAAUCUCCAAGAUAAGUAACUGACAGUCUGAAGGAAGCUGGCUGCUACAUGAGGAAGACACUCGGGCAGCCUAAGGAGACACCCCCAUGGAGAGCAAUGGGGGUCACUCCAUAGAUCAACCUGCCACCUGCCACAUGAGAGAGCCUGGAAGUCCCAGUCAAGUCUUGAGAUGACUGCAGCCCUGGCUGACAGCCUGAUUGCAGCUCUGUGAGAGAAUCUGAGUCAGAAUCUCCCAGGUAAGCUGCUCCCAUAUUCCUGACUCUGAAACU